rnacentral:tRNA from 1 species
GAGAUUUUAGUAAAAUAAUUAUUACAUUACUUUGUCAAAGUAAAAUUAAAGGUUUAUUCCCUUUAAAUCUCU